rnacentral:misc_RNA from 1 species
AAAUUGCAAUAGAGCUAAUAAAGAUCAGUUUCUUGCAAAUAUUGCUAUAAAGAUCAAUGCGAAGCUUGGAGGCAGCAAUGUGGAGCUCAUCAAGCAGCCCCAGUGCUUGCAAAGUAAAGGCCAUGUUAUGUUUGUUGGUGCUGAUGUUAAUCAUCCCGGCUCUUACAACUCAACAAGUCCUUCAAUUGCAGCUGUUGUUGGCACCAUGAAUUGGCCAGCUGCAAAUUGCACGUAUUUGUCCUCAAGACCAUCGAGCAGAAAAGAUUCUCAAAUUUGGAGGCAUGUGUUUGGAGCUUGUAAAUGCUUAUACUAGGCUAAAUCAGGCAAGGCCGGAGACGAUUGUACUAUUUCGUCAUGGAGUAAGUGAUGGGCAGUUUGAUAUGGUUCUCAAUGAAGAGCUUAUGGAUCUCAAGAUGACAUUUGAAGCAUUGAAUUACUUCCCAACCAUCACUGUCGUUGUUGCGCAGAAGCGACACAAAACUCGGCUGUUUCCAGAGAGCGACAAGAAUGAAAAUGUGCCUCCAGGCACUUGUGGUGGACACAAAAAUUACGCAUCCUUUUGGAUUUGACUUCUAUCUUUGCAGUCAUUAUGGUCAUAUUGGAACGAGCAAACCAGCCCACUACCAUGUGUUGUGGGAUGAGAAUGGUUUUACUUCUGAUGAAUUGCAGGAGCUUAUUUACGCCAUGUGCUUCACCUGUGCUCAAUGCACUAAGCCUGUCUCACUGGUGCCUCCAGUGUGGUACGCUGACCGUGCUGCUUAUAGAGGUCGGCUUUACCAUGAUUCAAUUGAGUGGUAUCAGUCUUCAGCUUCAACACCAUCUUCAUCAUCACCAUCUUCAAGAUCAUCAAUGGCUUNUCUUUUGAUGAGCAGCUGUACAAGUUGCACCCCAAUCUGGAAAACUCGAUGUUUUUCAUUUGAGGCAUCUCCUCCUCUUUUCACAAGAAGGGACAGGAGAUAGAUACAUGUUUUCAAUCAAGAUUGCCGAGUUGCAUUUCCAAUCUACAGGCUGGAAAAGCAGUUUGUGCGUGAAUCUAAUGGGGUUGAAGUUUGUGUCUUUCCAGUAAAGUGUUUCCUCUCGAGUUCUCAUGGAAUAUGCAUGCCA